ACCGCAUAGCUCAGUUGGAAGAGCAUUGGGCUAGUAUUCCAAAGGUCGUAGGUUCGAAUCCCACCGUGGCCG